rnacentral:rRNA from 1 species
UACGAAGGGUGCAAGCGUUAAUCGGAAUUACUGGGCGUAAAGCGCGCGUAGGUGGUCAAGUAAGCGUACUGUGAAAGCCCCGGGCUCAACCUGGGAACUGCAGGACGAACUGCUUGACUAGAGUAUAGUACAGGAGAGGGUAGUGGAAUUCCAGGUGUAGCGGUGAAAUGCGUAGAGAUCUGGAGGAAUACCGAUGGCGAAGGCAGCCAUCUGGCCUAAUACUGACGCUGAGGUACGAAAGCAUGGGGAGCAAACAGG